rnacentral:piRNA from 1 species
CACAGCGGUGCGACGAGAUGCUGCUUCUC